AUAAAAAAGUAACUGUGGACCUUAGGGUGUUUCCCUGGCUCUGGCUGCCAUCUAGUGUUUUGUCAGGCACGGUGAAGCACAGCUUAGUUUGAGACUGCGUGAAUCUUCUCUGAGCCUGAACUCCAUUCGUGUACGCAGAUAGGAUAAAUAGUACAGAUCCACCUCUCCAAGGGACAGCAGAGGAGGAAGAUUUAACACAGCAAGUGAAGGAAGAGCUUCUAUGACAUUAGUUGCCAAGUAUUUAAGGUAGCAUCACUUCCUCUGAGUUAGCUGCCUUACAUGAUUGCAGUCAUGGUUUGACUGAGCUAAGGCCAGACAUACCAAAACGUAAACUUUGAUCUUUCACUGCUUAAAAACAGGGCAGGUUUCUAUUCUUCACUACUGCUGUUGUGCAGUAGUUGCUGUUGCAUUUUGUGCUUCUUUUCCUCUUACUUAAAUGGGAGUACCAAUGGCCUGAUUCCUAACUGAAGAAAUGUUGGUGUAGAAAAAAAAAAUAGUGCAAAAUUCUUGACCACUACUGUGCAAACCAAGUGCAAGUAUGACACACAAUGUGCAGCCUCAACUUAAUGUAGUAGUAGCAUUCAUCGGCAUAAGCAUUAAGCUUCUGGAACAGGAUGGACAUACACCAUCAUUUUUAGCAUCUUACCAGCCUUAAUUGUGGUAGGAAAUGAUUUCUGCUCUACCGUGGGAGACAACCAUCUUCCUCCAACAGGCAUGAGUUUGUAGCUCUUUAAUACAAUGGCACAAUGUUCUUUCAGCAGAGCAUGCUCCUCCAGUUUGUUUGUUCUGGAGGCUGCACAUGGCUUUGAAGUGUGGCAGCUUUUGUUUGCCGUGUUGUUGCAGCAGGCAGACAGCAGACAGCGGGCGCAGAGGACAUUUCCGAAGCUCCUGCUGAUCUGAAGCCACAGAACUGUGCGUGAAGAUUGUGCAAACUGAGGAGUGAUGUGACAGACUGCAUUCACCGUCACUUCUGGUGCAGGACAGGCACUAAGCCAGAAGCUGAAUGGAUUAUGUUGUCCUGGAGAUGUGGCUGGCUCUGGCAGAGGCUCUUGAGGCGUCACAUCACCAACAAUAACCUUCUGAUGCCUGGAGCUUGCACAAACAAUGGAAGCCAUGCCACCUGCCGUAAAUCCAAUGGCAAUGUGCUGCUGGAGAGUUGCGUGUCAGCACUGUAACAGCAGGAUCAGACUUGUGAAGCAAUUACUUCACUCACAGAACCAACACACUCUUUUACAGAAACCAACAUACUCUUUCAAAGAACCAACAUACUGACAAAGGCCCCAUUCCUAUGCAGAACAGAAGAAAUAGCUCAGAAUGUCAAGUCCAAUCUCCUCCAACUGCAGGCACAUAUAUGAUGGACAGUAAGUUCAGAAAAUUGGAAAGAACGUCUUUCAGACUUCAAGAGGUAUAGAGUAUUAUAUACAGACAGAUAUGAAAAAUGUCUGUCCUGUGUUUAUUAGAUAGAAGUGACUGCUUUGAAGACAAAAAGGUGAAUUUAAACAGGCAGUGCUGGCUUCUGGCAGCAGUACAAUCUGUCUCAAUUUGGAAUGCAAAGCCUAUUAAAACAGAAUAAUUCAUUGUUCUAGAAAUGUCUGUUUCACAAAUGAACACUUCAGUCAGGGCCACCUACUCAUUUAUCCUGUUUUUUAUCCUUUUAUCUACUAAUAGUUCUUUCAAUAUCUGCUAGGCUGAACCAUUUGUUUAAGAAAUUUCAAGGGUAACCUAUAAGAAUGAUUCUGAAUGGGACCGGGACAACCCCUUCUUCAGGUUUAUUUCUUCUUGACACUCAUGCAUAGACAAGUACAACUGGUAUAUCCAUCAGUUGACUGCCCUUUAUGAGUCCAAGCCAGACAGUAUCAAACAAGCAAGUCUUAUUUUUUAAGAUUUUUGCCUUCCCUAGAAAAAUAUGGAUCUAGCCUGCUCCCAGUUGUGUUCAUAAAACUGAGAAUGAAUUUCAAUCUGUGAAUUUUCCCAAGAACUUAAGUGCUCUCCACACACAAAAAUCUGUAACACUCAGGAAUAUUACAAAGGGGCAAGGGAAGCAGGACAUGAAUUUUCCUAAAUUGUAAACAACCACAGCUUUUGAAACAGGUAGCACAGACAUCCUAUUACAGACACACGCUAACAACUCAUCUGCUAACAGUGCCCUGGUACCUUCCUCCAGUUCUAAGGAGGAUGAGACAGUCUCCCAGAGCUCACUGGAACAUAAUUCACAAAACUGCUCAUUCUACUGUUGCACCCCUAAGAUGGGACAUGCCUCCUGGAAUUUCUGUGCAAUACUCAAGAGAUUAUCAGUCAAUCAAGGACACACUAACUAACACUACUUUGCAGUAUGGCCCUCCUGUUUUGAGCCAGUCAGUCUUGAAAAGGUAUACCCGAAGGAAGCAAUUAGCAGCAGAAAACUAAUCGCAACAGAAGAGGUCAGAGAAAAGAUGUAUCCAGUAUAGCCUGAUUCUCCUGAUCACAGAGUAAGAAAGGUCAGGAAGCACUGCUGGGGUCAUGUGGUCCAAACCACGCUCAAAGUAGGCCAAAUUUAAAGCUGGACCUAACUACAAAUCAGGUUGCUUCAAGUCAGAUUCAGUCAAGUUUUGAACAUCCCAAAGAUACCACGUAUUUUCAGAGCAGCUUAUUCAAAAGUCUGACCACCCACACUGCAAAUGUUUUUCCUAGUAUCUAAUUGGAAUUUCACAUAUUACAGCUUGUGCACAUUGCCCUCUGUCCUUUCGUUGGGUGUACCUCCAAGAAACAUUUAUCAAUCUUCACUAUAUAGUGAUGAGAGAGCUAAUGUGCCUAAGAGGCAUUCCAGAAACUUCAUAUUAAAAAAAAAAAUCUGUUAAACUGAAACAAGCUGGGCAACAGAAGACAGUAAAAAAUGAUAGCCAGAAGGAGUCUAGCAAGCAAUUUAAAUAGAGAGAGGUGCUGGAGGAUAACAGGCUUAUUUAUCAGUGUUAAAAUUAUCACCGUUCUACAUGGUUGAAGAAUUAACAUCCACAUAAAAGAAAAUUAAUGAGAGAAAUUAGCAUAUAGUAAUUUCUGCUACACUUGUUAGAGCUUACUGGCUUUGGAAUUAGGAAGCAACUUUUUAAAUUUUCUUGUAAAUACUAAGGGCAGAUUUUUUUAUUAUGCUCCACAAUGUUUGAAAUGAAUCACUCUCCCUCCAGCAUACAUUUAUUUAAAUGGCACUAUCUGUGAUGAGUGGUACAAGCAGGUCUUUGUAUUAUGUCAUCUGCCUAAGUAGAAUUAUCUAAUUUUUCAGGAUGACAAAGUAUAGAAAAGAGAAAUUCAUAAGAGGUCUCGGUAACUGAAUAGCUGUAGUUGUUGUAAAAACAAUUAAAUGUACCUAACAAUAAAAUUAUCAUGUAGAAUGUUUUCAAUAUUAUAAAUUUAACAUAAGAGGCCUAAAUUCGGUGUGCUCCAGCCCAACAGCAUGGUCUAAAGUAAUUUAAAAUAGUUAUUUUAAGAGAAUGCCUAAGUAAAGAUCUAAAGUGAAACUCUAGAUGAAGGAAUUAAGUUGUUUCCAAACCAAACAUAAUCCGCAAAAAAGAUCUAAACACCACAUUCAACUGGCCACUGUAGUGAAAAACACUAAGGAAUCUCUGAAAUACUUCAAGAUUCAGAGAAGUUAAAGGCAUAAGAUAUACAUAAAGCAACUGUCAAGACCCUCUUCCAAUACAAAGGCAGGAACAACUGACUUCAGAUCCCUUCCUACCUCAACCAGAAACAUAAUAAAUGUGGCUUCAAUCUGAGCAGCAGAAAUAAGAACGAAGCUUUGCAGAACGCAGAGCUCAGUUUAGUAUGAGACAAGUUCAAUCUGACUGGUACAGAGCUGUGCAAACUGUAUCCUGUGUGAGUCAGAAGCCUCUCAGUACCCAUCACAAAAAGUAUCUCAUGAAAUGGGUUUGCUGUGUGGCAGGCAAACACGUUUCUGCUAUAAAGGAAUUUGUCCUGAAUGCUCUGAACUCUACAUACGUAUCUUAUAAAAGACAUGAGACUAGUGAGAUUGAUUUUGGAUGCCAGCCUGAGAUCUAUGUAUAAAUGACCAAGGGCUUAGAGAAUUAAAUCCAAAACCAAACUGAGGGAACUAGAUGAAGAACCAGAAAUUUAGAAAGCUUCUCUUUCCUUUGAGAAGUCAAUCACUGAA